UACAGAGGUCUCAAGCGUUGUUCGGAUUCAUUGGGCGUAAAGGGUGCGCAGGCGGAUUUGUAAGUCAGAGGUGAAAUCUCACGGCUUAACCGUGAAACUGCCUUUGAUACUGCAGAUCUUGAGUUUGGGAGAGGUUGAUGGAAUUCCAGGUGUAGCGGUGAAAUGCGUAGAUAUCUGGAAGAACACCAGUGGCGAAGGCGGUCAACUGGCCCAUAACUGACGCUCAGGCACGAAAGCGUGGGGAGCAAACAGG
rnacentral:rRNA from 1 species